GAUCUCUACGCCAGAGAAGAGAAGAAAAAAGGCAAAACAAAAACUAUGGGGACAGAUCUCUACGCCAGAGAAGAGAAGAAAAAAGAAAUAUUGCCCGCCGUUGCACACGAUCUCCAGACUUGAGGAGAACUGCCAGGCCACGAUCUCAAACCAGACAGACACUCAGGGCGACGUGGGAAUUGAUCGCAGUACAAAUGGAUAAAUCAACACUCAUCCCUUUUCCAAUUUACAGUUCAUACGAAAAUAGAAAACAGACAAAGAAAGAAGAGCAGACCAGAAUCAAACCCAGAAGGAGGAGAAAAUUCUUAACAAAUCGGCUGAGUGAUCCUUGGGUAAUUGAUUUUAUAUCAAAGCAAAUGUAGGAACUACAUUGACUGAUCUGGUCAGGAGAAAUUGGUGUUUUGGAUUAUCAUUAUUUACUGUGGAAAAGUGCUUGAACUGGAGAUGGGCACGCCAAGCAGUAGGAAUAUUAGACAGAAAUAAAUAUCAACACACCCGUCCACCAAACUCUCUCAAAUCAUUUUGGAGGUGCAGGAAAGCAGAGGUAGGUACACGAAACCAACCAUAGAGUUGGAGGAAAACAAUCACAGAGGUCAACAACAUCAAUAACAUUAGUUUGGUCGCAAAGAAACAAUCACAGAGGUUCAACCUCAUCAGUUCUGUACGUGAAUUCAACCAGAAAAAAUUUGAUUUCUUUCUCUCUACACAGGGUUUCUUGGUGGCUCACACAGGUUCUCUGGGAGAAUUACACAUAAAUAUUGCUUGGAAGAUGCAUAACUGCACAUUCAUUUAAGGAGGCAUAGACGCAGAGCGCAGGUUAAUUAUCUUCGAUCUUCAAAUAGAGUUCAUGAAGAUGUGAUGUUAUGUUUUAUGACAGUUUAGAGGAACCUGCCAGAUUCAAUGACAGAUAGGGAUAGUGUCAUGUUGUUCAAAAUGACUUAUGUUUCAUUCAUUGCAAGAAAGCAUGAAUUUGAAAAAUGUACUUGGAUUGCAAUCCUUGAUUGCAGACUAUAUGCGGUGGCAACAAUAUGGAGCUUUCAAAAA